AAAAAGUGAUGCUCGUGAAAUGCAGAGUUUCUACCAGCAUUACUAUAGGAAGUAUAUUCAGGCUUUGCAGAAUGCUGCUGAUAAAGCUGAUCGCGCACGACUUACAAAAGCAUACCAAACAGCUGCUGUGCUUUUUGAGGUCUUGAAAGCUGUUAACCUGACAGAAGCUGUGGAAGUGUCUGACGAGAUUUUGGAAGCUCAUACAAAGGUUGCCGAGAAGACUGAGAUACUAGUUCCAUAUAAUAUACUUCCACUUGAUCCUGAUAGUUCAAAUCAAGCAAUUAUGAGAUAUCCUGAGAUUCAAGCUACUGUCACUGCUCUUCGCAAUACAAGAGGUCUUCCAUGGCCAAAAAACCAUAAGAAGAAAGUUGAUGAAGAUAUUCUGGACUGGCUUCAAGCUAUGUUUGGUUUU
rnacentral:misc_RNA from 1 species